CUCCGAUAAAGACAAACCCUGAGCAAUCAGGGGACGCAAAGUAAAGGGUUUUUUAUUUGGCAGGAAUAAACCUUGAUUGUUAUU
rnacentral:ncRNA from 1 species